rnacentral:rRNA from 1 species
GGGUUGUGAGGUUAAGCGACUAAGCGUACACGGUGGAUGCCCUGGCAGUCAGAGGCGAUGAAGGGCGUGCUAAUCUGCGAUAAGCGCCGGUAAGGUGAUAUGAACCGUUAUAACCGGCGAUACCCGAAUGGGGAAACCCAGUGUGAUUCGUCACACUAUCAUUAACUGAAUCCAUAGGUUAAUGAGGCGAACCGGGGGAACUGAAACAUCUAAGUACCCCGAGGAAAAGAAAUCAACCGAGAUUCCCCCAGUAGCGGCGAGCGAACGGGGAGGAGCCCAGAGCCUGAAUCAGCAUGUGUGUUAGUGGAAGCGUCUGGAAAGGCGCGCGAUACAGGGUGACAGCCCCGUACACAAAAGCGCAUAUGCUGUGAGCUCGAUGAGUAGGGCGGGACACGUGGUAUCCUGUCUGAAUAUGGGGGGACCAUCCUCCAAGGCUAAAUACUCCUGACUGACCGAUAGUGAACCAGUACCGUGAGGGAAAGGCGAAAAGAACCCCGGCGAGGGGAGUGAAAAAGAACCUGAAACCGUGUACGUACAAGCAGUGGGAGCCCCACCACUAAGCCAGUGGUGAACUCCACAUACGCAUCCUUUGCUGAGGAGACGGUUAACGGAGCGAAAGCGACGUUCAACCUCAAAAGAAGCAGAGGGGGCUUAGUGGUGGGGUGACUGCGUACCUUUUGUAUAAUGGGUCAGCGACUUAUAUUCUGUAGCAAGGUUAACUGUAUAGGGGAGCCGGAGGGAAACCGAGUCUUAACCGGGCGUUAAGUUGCAGGGUAUAGACCCGAAACCCGGUGAUCUAGCCAUGGGCAGGUUGAAGGUUGGGUAACACUAACUGGAGGACCGAACCGACUAAUGUUGAAAAAUUAGCGGAUGACCUGUGGCUGGGGGUGAAAGGCCAAUCAAACCGGGAGAUAGCUGGUUCUCCCCGAAAGCUAUUUAGGUAGCGCCUCGUGAAUUCAUCUCCGGGGGUAGAGCACUGUUUCGGCUAGGGGGCCAUCCCGGCUUACCAACCCGAUGCAAACUGCGAAUACCGGAGAAUGUUAUCACGGGAGACACACGGCGGGUGCUAAUGUCCGUCGUGAAGAGGGAAACAACCCAGACCGCCAGCUAAGGUCCCAAAGUCAUGGUUAAGUGGGAAACGAUGUGGGAAGGCCCAGACAGCCAGGAUGUUGGCUUAGAAGCAGCCAUCAUUUAAAGAAAGCGUAAUAGCUCACUGGUCGAGUCGGCCUGCGCGGAAGAUGUAACGGGGCUAAACCAUGCACCGAAGCUGCGGCAGCGACACCGUGUGUUGUUGGGUAGGGGAGCGUUCUGUAAGCCUGUGAAGGUGUGCUGUGAGGCAUGCUGGAGGUAUCAGAAGUGCGAAUGCUGACAUAAGUAACGAUAAAGCGGGUGAAAAGCCCGCUCGCCGGAAGACCAAGGGUUCCUGUCCAACGUUAAUCGGGGCAGGGUGAGUCGACCCCUAAGGCGAGGCCGAAAGGCGUAGUCGAUGGGAAACGGGUUAAUAUUCCCGUACUUGGUGUUACUGCGAAGGGGGGACGGAGAAGGCUAUGUUGGCCGGGCGACGGUUGUCCCGGUUUAAGCGUGUAGGUAUGUGUUCCAGGUAAAUCCGGUUCACUUUAACACUGAGGCGUGACGACGAGGCACUACGGUGCUGAAGCAACAAAUGCCCUGCUUCCAGGAAAAGCCUCUAAGCAUCAGGUAACAUCAAAUCGUACCCCAAACCGACACAGGUGGUCAGGUAGAGAAUACCAAGGCGCUUGAGAGAACUCGGGUGAAGGAACUAGGCAAAAUGGUGCCGUAACUUCGGGAGAAGGCACGCUGACACGUAGGUGAAGUGAUUUACUCACGGAGCUGAAGUCAGCCGAAGAUACCAGCUGGCUGCAACUGUUUAUUAAAAACACAGCACUGUGCAAACACGAAAGUGGACGUAUACGGUGUGACGCCUGCCCGGUGCCGGAAGGUUAAUUGAUGGGGUCAGCGCAAGCGAAGCUCCUGAUCGAAGCCCCGGUAAACGGCGGCCGUAACUAUAACGGUCCUAAGGUAGCGAAAUUCCUUGUCGGGUAAGUUCCGACCUGCACGAAUGGCGUAAUGAUGGCCAGGCUGUCUCCACCCGAGACUCAGUGAAAUUGAACUCGCUGUGAAGAUGCAGUGUACCCGCGGCAAGACGGAAAGACCCCGUGAACCUUUACUAUAGCUUGACACUGAACAUUGAGCCUUGAUGUGUAGGAUAGGUGGGAGGCUUUGAAGUGUGGACGCCAGUCUGCAUGGAGCCGACCUUGAAAUACCACCCUUUAAUGUUUGAUGU